rnacentral:rRNA from 1 species
UGAGGAACAUGACUUUCGGCGGGGGAUAGCCGGCCCAACGGCCGGGUAAUACCGCGUACGACCUUUUGGGACAUCCCCGAUUGGUGAAAGCAGCAAUGCGCCGUAAGAGUGCCUCGCGGCCUAUCAGCUAGUUGGUGGGGUAANGGCUCACCAAGGCGACGACGGGUAGCUGGUCUGAGAGGAUGGCCAGCCACAGUUGGGACUGAGACACGGCCCAGACUCCGUACGGGAGGCAGCAGGG